rnacentral:misc_RNA from 1 species
CCAGCGAUGUCAGACUUUUUCAUGAAGCCCGAUUUGCCGGAGACACUUGACUUGCUACCAGAACCAGAUAUCUGUUCGCCAGACAGCAACGCAGGCCAUUCCACCCAUUCCGAGUCGUGUCCAGAACAAAGCUGUUGUGGACCAACAAUUUCAGCCACCUCACCCUGACCGUUCGUCACCAUCACAUGCUUUCGGCGCUCCUCAACCAUCCCAAACCGCUCAGCCACAACACCAGCCUGUUCAGCAUACACAGCCGCUUCAUGCCGCUCGACCAGUUCAACAGGCUCUCCAGGGUCAGCUGUCGGCCACGAAUGGAGCCAGCGAGCAACAUCAAGCAACAACAGCCGCCCCUCCCAUUUGCAGUUACGGAGCUCCUGCCAGACGUGAGAUAGUUGACUUGACAGACGAUUAUGGCCAGCCAAGAAUAGAGAAAACAGAAGCAACACAGACAGUAAAGACAACACAGAUAGUCCAGCCUACUCAGACAGCUCAGAAUGCACCUACAAAGAGAUAACUUGAACUGAAUCGUUAACUAUUUCUUUUCCCCUCUGUUCCACAAACAUCUCCGCCAGCACAGAGCACCCCUGCACCUUUGCCUACGCCACCGGUUGAAAAGCAUAGACACCAUGACCCUGCCACUGCCACGCAUCUCGACAAGGUAAUUUGUUAUUGGAACAAAUGGCCAAAGGAAUCAACUCGAACCCCUUCACUUACUUGGCCGGAUGACAUACUUCCAGCCGAAGGAGAUGCCUCCUUCCCUUCAAUUGAAGUAGUCAUUGCGGAUGUCAUGCUCUACGUUCCUCCUCAGCGUUACCAGGUCUUUGUUGAGCUCAAGGAAGACUAUGAAAUUGCACCCAUUAUUCACCCUACCAAACAGCCUGACCAUAUCGAUUUGUAUGCCUUGUUUUGUACACCACGAGACGCUUCCGGGGCAGCCAUAUUGGAUCGUUGGAACGCGCUCAUAAAAUUGACGUACUGGUCAAGGUGUCGAUUCUCGCUUCAUCAUUUCAAGGAGAGGUACGAAUUCUUAGUUAGGCUCCGUGGGACCAAACAACAUACUGCUGCCAAGGCUGAUAUUAGCGAGCACCUUGUCGAUUGUAUGGAUGUGAUAUUGUCUGAAGCGCUGCGUCUAGCCUGUCCCCUAGCUGGUAGCAAACCGAGAUCGUCUUCUUACUGCGGCUGUCCCCGUGACGACCCUCUAGGAUAUCCCUGUGAGUACAAGAUGUCCACUAUCGUGCAGCAGAGAAAGCUUUCGCUAGACGAUUUCCACCCCCAUUGGAGAAGUUUUUACGUGGACCUGAAGAUUGUGAAAGUUAAUGACCAAGGAAAAGAUGCCAAGGAGCGCAUUAGAACCUGGUGCCAAUCUGUACUCCUUGGAAUUAGGUAACCAGGAUGCUGGAGUUUUGGACCAGCCUCUCAGAAAGAGGCAUAAAGUAGGUCAUGCAGAUUCAUACUUAGUAAUACAGGAUAAAUGACG